rnacentral:rRNA from 1 species
CAGUAGCCGCGGUAAAACGUAGGGUGCGAGCGUUAAUCGGAAUUAUUGGGCGUAAAGGGUGCGUAGGCGGUUUGAUAAGUCAUCUGUGAAAUCUCUGGGCUCAACCCAGAGUCUGCAGGCGAAACUGUCGGGCUUGAGUAUGGGAGAGGUGAGUGGAAUUUCCGGUGUAGCGGUGAAAUGCGUUGAGAUCGGAAAGAACACCAACGGCGAAAGCACUCUGCUGGGCCGACACUGACACUGAGAGACGAAAGCUAGGGGAGCAAAUGGGAUUAGAGACCCCUGUAGUCCCUGUCUCUUAUAC